CAUCACUGAGUGACUUUAAAAUGUGAGAAAUCUAAAUGUAUAUAAAUCCUAAAUACACCCCACAAUGUCCUCAAUGAGCUCAAAUUUUAAAGCCCUGAAUGGUUUCUGUAGGUCAAAGGUCAUGUGAGGAGAUAGGGGCUGAAGUUUUUUCAAGCGCUCUAGUAAAAGGUUUUAAGUGUCAUCCCCAGUGCUAUGUGUGCUGAGCCUGGCUUCAUGUGUCUCAUAUGGCCAUUAGAGGCAGCUUUCCAGUCAGCUGUGUGUCUCCAGGUGCACUAAUUGGUUGCCAUGGGGACCUUGGAUGCAUACCUAUAGCAGGAGAAAGAAGGCUUGAAGCUAAGGAAACAGGACUCCAAGUAGGCCCUGACGCUCAUCCUCUGUAUCUAUUCCUGAUAAGGAGCUUGUGAGAACACAAGACUCUGCUAAACACAUUAAUACAAUUUAUUAUCACAAUCCUCAAAACACCCCAUAAUAUCUUCAAUGAGCUGAAUUUUUGAAGCCCAGAAUGGUUUCUGUAGCUCAAAGUUUGUGGGUGGAGAUAGGUGGUGAAGCAGACACAUAUUAACUGUGUGUACAAGCAGCUGAACUGCAAGGUGGACCUCAAAAAGCAACAAGUACAAGAAUGUGUGUGCGUGUGUGUGUGUGUCUCGUUAAUGACUGCAUCCUAAACAGCUGUGAGAUCAAAGGCAAAUCACUAACCUACUGUUUGACUGAGAGGUGCUGAACUGCAGUGAAUUUCAGCCUGUGAACUUCUUCACAUAGCGUGAUUUCCUUAAGUCCCAGAAUGAAAAUAAGAACAUCGUACGAAUCCUCCGUCCUUCAUGAACACAAUGAUGUCUUUUUCAUGUCUGUACUUCGAAAAAUGUGGCCACAACAGCGAGUUAAAAAAGUCUGAGCCUGAGUGGGGAUAAGGAUUUUCUUGGAGAAGAAAUACAUUAGGUCUAAUGGGGAGAGAUUUCCGCCUAUUUGGACAGUUGGUCACCUGCUGGCCAAGGGGUAGGAUUUAAUGAUUUGAAACCUCUUUUGUGAGAAGCAGGACACAUAUACCUCCAUUUUGAUGUAUUUUUUAUGGCUGUGGAGUGAGAUUUGUGGGCGUGGGAGCGAUAUAUUUGAGCGAGGUUCUGUCGAUCAGAGACGAGGUCUGCACUCUAGCUUUUCAAAUCAUCACUCUAGCCUCUCCAAUACACCCCUAUUAUAAAGCCUGAAAUUUGCUGAAAACCACAAGUUGCAUAAAGCUAAAUUGUGGAAAAACUGUAAAAGAUAGCACAAAGAGGUUAAUACAACAUCAAUAGUCGACAAGACAAUGAACAUUUUAAAGCAAAAAUGAGGUCUCUAGGUUAAAGUAUGCUGAAGUUAUAAGGUCUAGAAGGUGGACGAAUAACAGGAAGAAUUGAAAGAUUUCCCCAUUCAUUUCUAUGGGGAAAAAAGUUUGGCACAAAAAGUGAAAAAUAAUAAAAAGUAUAAAGGGUAGAAAAGAGAAAAGUAAUAGCCAUCAUGUCCUGAUGGAGCGGAAUAGUUUAAAGUUUGAACGGUUGAAAUCGGACAAAGUUUGAAGGAGGAGAAGCGGUCCAAAGAAACGUAUGGGGAGAGUGUUAAGUAUAAUACUAGAAAAAUUGCAUUUCCUUGCAGAAAAUGCGUGGAAAUGCUGAGUGCUGAAAGCUGAAAAAGCAAUGCUGAACUGCUAAUAAAACAUGGAGAAAGGUAUAAAUGUUAAAGCUGUUGAAGGGGUGAAAAUGAAAUAUAAGUUGGAUAACUGUUUAAUUGGUUGAAGUACAAAUAUUAUGAAUAUGCUCUAUAAAAGGAAAUUUGACAUUAACAGUAGUUGUCGUACUUGAGGUAGGAUUUUGUUUGAAGGACGGAAUAAUGCAUAAAUAUUAAAACUAAUAUAAACAGGGAAAAUUUUAUUAAUUUAAAAUCCUCAAGUAUCAGAAGGUUUUUAAGUAUUAGAAAGGUUUGAAUCAUUUUGAAUGAGUUUAAAUUAGUUUGAAAAAUGAAAUGAUAAAUCAUCACUGAGUGACUUUAAAAUGUGAAAAAUUUAAAUGAAUUUAAAUCCUAAAUACACCCCAUAUUGUCCUCAAUGAGCUUAAAUUUUAAAGCCCUGAAUGGUUUCUGUAGGUCAAAGGUCAUGUGAGGAGAUAGGGGCUGAAGUUUUUUCCAACGCUCUAGGAAAGGGUUUUAAGUGUCAUCCCAAGUGCUAUGUGUACUGAGCCUGGCUUCAUGUGUCUCAUAUGGCCAUUAGAAGCAGCUUUCCAGUCAGCUGUGUGUCUCCAGGUGCAAAAAUUGGUUGCCAUGGGGACCUUGGAUGCAUAACUAUAGCACGAGAAAGAAGGCUUGAAUGCUAAGGAAACAGGACUCCAAGUAGGCCCUGACGCUCAUCCUCUAUAUAUAUUUAUGAUAAGGAGCUUGUGAGAACCACAAAAACUGCUGAACACAUUAAUACAAUUUAUAAUCACAAUCCUCAAAACACCCCAUAAUAUCUUCAAUGAGCUGAAUUUUUGAAGCCCAGAAUGGUUUCUGUGGCUCAAAGUUUGUGGGUGGAGAUAGGUGGCGAAGCAGACACAUAUUAACUGUGUGUACAAUCAGCUGAACUGCAAGGUAGACCUGACAAAGCAACAAGUACAAGAAUGUGUGUGUGUGUGUGUGUGUGUGUGUGUGUGUGUCUCGUUAAUGACUGCAUCCUAAACAGCUGUGAGAUCAAAGGCAAAUCACUGACCUACUGUUUGAAUGAGAAGCAGCUGAACUGCAGAGGAUUUAGAGGCUCUAAACUUCUUCACAUAGCGUGAUUUCCUUAAGUCACAGAAUGAAAAUAAGAACAUCGUACGAAUCCUCCGCCCUUCAUGAACACAAUGAUGUCUUUUUCAUGUCUGUACUUCGAAAAAUGAGGCCACAACAGCGAGUUAAAAAAGUCUGAGCCUGAGCGAUGAUCCGGAUUUUCUUGGAGAAAAAUAACAUUAUGGUCAAUGGGAGAGAUUUCCGCCUUUUUUGGACAGUUGGUCACCUGCUGGCCAAGGGGUACGAUUUAAUGAUUUGAAACCUCUUUUGUGAGAAGCAGGACACAUAUACCUCCAUUUUGAUGUAUUAUUUGUGUCAGUGGAGUGAGAUUUGUGGGCGUGGGAGCGAUAUAUUCGAGCGAGGUUCUGUCGAUCAGAGACGAGGUCUGCACUCUAGCUGAUGACAUCAUCACUCUAAACUCUCCAAUACACACCCAUUAUAAAGCUUGAAAUUUGCUGAAAACCACAAGUUGCUUAAAGCUAAAUUGUGGAAGAACUGUAGAAGAUAUCAAAAAACCGAGUACAACUGUAAUAGUCGACAAGUGAGUGAACAUUUGAAAGCAAAAAUGAGGUCUCUAGGUGAAAGUAUGCUGAAGUUAUAAGGUCUAGAAGGUGGAAGAAUGAAAGGAAGAAGUUGAAGAUUUCCCCAUUGACUUCAAUGUUAAAAUUUUUGCACAAAAAGUUUAAAAAAUCAAAAAGUAUAAAAGGUAGAAGAGUGAAAAGUAAUAGCCAUCAUGUCCUGAAGGAGUGGAAUAGUUUAAAGUUUGAACGGUUGAAAUCGGACAAAGUUUGAAGGAGGAGAAGCGUUGCAAAAAAGGGACGGAAGAAUAAUAAUAAUAAUAACUAGAAAAUGCAAUUUCUGAAGAAAUUGCGAGUGGGAUUGCUUCAGUUGAAAUUGCUAGCGCUACGCUGCUAUUGCGAAUGGCUGAAUUUUAAAAUAUGUGAAAGGUCAAAAAGUAUGAAGUAUCAGGAAGAUUUGAAUCAAUUGGAAUAAACUCAAUUGAAUGAAUUGACUAAAUCAUUAAUAAAUUUUGAAAAUUCAAUGUGUGAAAGUUAAAAUGAUUAAAAACCCUGAAGCAUGGGAAAGGCUUGAAGAGUCAAUAAGGGUUGAAUCAGUUCAAAUGAGUUGGAAUUUGUUUGAAAGAACUGAAUAAUGCAUUAAGAGUAAAAAAUGAUUUAAAACUGGAAAAUUAAAAGGUUACAAAUCUGGAAGAAAAAGAGGUUUGAAGAAUCAAAACGGUUUAAAUCAGUUUGAAGGAGUGUAAAUUAGUUGGAAGAGUUAAAUAAUGCAUUUUCAAUGAAUGAUUGAAAAAGGGGGAAAUAUAAAUGAAUAAAAAUCCUUAUUAGACCCCAUAAUGUCCUCAAUGAGCUGAAUUUAUUGAGCCCUGGUUGGUUUCUGUAGCUCAAGGUUUGUGCCAAGAGAUAGAUGACAAAUUUCGUCAAAUAACUCUAUUGAAGGGUUUUAAAUUUAACCCCCAGUACUCUGUGUACUGAGCCUGGCUUCAUGUGUCUCAUAUGGCUGUUAGAAGCAGCUUUCCAGCCAGCUGUGUGUCUCCAGGUGCUCUUAUUGGUUGCCAUGGUGACGAUAGAUGCUUAACAACAGCAGGAGAAAGGAGGCUUGAGGCUGAGAAUGUAAUGCCCAAACAACGUCAUAUUUCUCAUCCUCUGUAACUGCUAUCUUCAUGAUAAUGAGCUUGUGAGAACCACAAGACCCGGCUGAACACGUUGAUACAACUUCUGUGUCUGUGGAGCCAAAAAUGCCUUCACUACGACGAGUUAAAAACAUGUCCAGUUUGUGUUUCCUCUGAAAAUCCUCCUCUCAGGUUUAUAUUGGAGUCAAUGGAGAAAGCUGGAGAAAUCUGGGGGAUGUCUGCGGCAGUUGGUGUCUGCCCAGGCCACUGUGUGUGUCCUAUGGCUUUGAUUUUUGACAUGAAGAGUGACAGCAAGUUUUGCCAUCACUGUACCAAUUUUUAUCUGUGUAGAGCCAAGUGAGUUGCCACAAUCCUUUUGUAAAGACAAAGUUUUGAGGAUCAAUUUUCAGCCUGUCUCACUCUAGCUGUGAGGUCACCCACUCUAGCUGCCAACAUUCCGUGCAAUACACACUAAUGUUAAAACCUGAACAGGUCUGAAAAUCUUUGGACUUUUUGAACUGUCACUGUGAGAAAAGUAUGAAUGCCAUGAAGAUGGUGAAUGAAUGAGUGAAUGUCUGAAGAUGUGUGAAUAUUUUAAAGUUUGAAUGAAGUUUCUAGGUGAAAGUAUGAAUGAAUGAGAAGAGGUUGAAGUUGACUACGUCUGAAGCCCUUUUCCCAUUGAAUCCCAUUAUAACGAAGUUUUAAACAAAUCUUAAUAUUUUGAAAAGUACAAAUGGGAUUAAAAAUGUUGAAGAUGUGGAAUAAUGCUGACGAAGUUGUGAAUAUUUUGGUUUUUGAAUGAAGUUUCUACGUGGAAGUAUAGAGGAGUUGAAGGCUUUUGAAGUUGUGUGAAGAAAAUGUGAGAAAAGGGCCAAUUUGAACAUUCCGUAAUGCAUUUCCAAUGGGAGAAAUCGGUCGGAAAACCUGGAAUAUCUCGGAAAGUAUGAAUGUUAGGAAAUUUUUGAAUACAAGCCGGAAUCUCCUGAAUGAGACGAAUCUUUUGAAGUUUGAAUGGUUUGAAUACGUUGAAGUAUGUGGAAGGAGAAGCGGUCCAAAAAACGGUGGAAGAAUAAUAAUAAUAAAGAUAUGAAUAACAUAUAGUGGGAAUGCUUCGCAAUCCCACUCAAUAAGUUUAAUAAAGAAACGGGAGAAUAACAAUAAGUGGAAAUGCCUAUCAGCAUUUCCACUUAACUAGAAAAAUUGCAUUUCCUUGCAGAAAAUGCGUGGAAAUGCUGAGUGCUGAAAGCUGAAAAAGCAAUGCUAAACUGGUAAUAAAACAUGGAGAAAGGUAUAAAUGUUAAAGCUGUUGAAGGAGUGAAAAAGAAAUAUAAGUUGGAUAAUGGUUUAAUUGGUUAAAGGACAAAUAGUAUGAAUAUGCUCUAUAAGAGGAAAUCUUAUUCAUGCUGAAAGAGGCUAGAAAAAUGUCUACAAUUGCACAAAGUUUGAAUGAAGAAGGAAAUUGCCUUAAAAGGCAGGAAGGUGAGAAGUGGCAUAAGUUUAAGUUGUAGUACUAGAAGUAGUAUGAUAAGAAGUCAAGUCGUGAUACUAGUAGUCAUGUCAGCAGUAGAAGUAGUUUAAGAAUAAAAGAAGUAUAAGUCAAAGUAGUAAAGAAAGUAGAAAUAGGAGCAAUAGCAGUUGAAGUAGAGGGGAAAGUUCUAGUUUAAUUGACAUAAGCAGUAGUUGUAGUACUUGAUGUAGGAUUUUGUUUGAAGGAUGGAGUAAUGCAUAAAUAUUAAAACUAAUUUAAACAUGGAAAAUUUAAAUAAUUAAAAAUCCUCAAGUAUCAGAAAGUUUUUAAGGAUUAGAAAGGUUUGAAUCAGUUUGAAUGAGUUUAAAUUAGUUUGAAAAAUUAAAUGAUAAAUCAUCACUGAGUGACUUUAAAAUGUGAAAAAUUUAAAUGAACAUAAAUCCUAAAUACAUCCCAUAAUGUCCUCAAUGAGCAUAAAUUUUAAAGCCCUGAAUGGUUUCUGUAGGUCAAAGGUCAUGUGAGGAGAUAGGGGCUUAGAUUUUUUCAAGCGCUGUAGUAGAGGGUUUUAAGUGUCAUCCUCAGUGCUAUGUGUACUGAGCCUGGCUUCAUGUGUCUCAUUUGGCCAUUAGAAGCAGCUUUCCAGUCAGCUGUGUGUCUCCAGGUGCACAAAUUGGUUGCUAUGGGGACCUUGGAUGCAUAACUAUAGCAGGAGAAAGAAGGCUUGAAGCUAAAGAAACAGGACUCCAAGUAGGCCCUGACGCUCACCCUCUGUAUAUAUUCAUAAGGAGCUUGUGAGAACACAAGACUCUGCUGAACACAUUAAUACAAUUUAUUAUCACAAUCCUCAAAACACCCCAUAAUAUCUUCAAUGAGCUGAAUUUUUGAAGCCCAGAAUGGUUUCUGUAGCUCAAAGUUUGUGGGUGGAGAUAGGUGGUGAAGCAGACACAUAUUAACUGUGUAUACAAGCAGCUGAACUGCAAGGUAGACCUGACAGCAAAAAGUACAAGAAUCUGUGUGUGUGUGUGUGUGUGUGUGUGUGUGUGUGUGUGUGUCUCGUUAAUGAUUGCAUCCUAAACAGCUGUGAGAUCAAAGCAUUAACUAACCUAUUGUUUGAAUGGAGAAGCUGCCGAACUGCAGUGAAUUUAGGGUUCUGAACUUCUUCACAUAGCACGAUUUCCUUAAAUCCCAGAAUGAAAAUAAGAACAUCGUACGAAUCCUCCAUCCUUCAUGAACACAAUGAUCUGUUUUUCAUGUCUGUACUCCGAAAAAUGUGGCCACAACAGCGAGUUAAAAAAGUCUGAGCCUGAGUGACGAUAAGGAUUUUCUUGGAGAAAAAAUACAUUAGGGCCAAUGGGGAGAGAUUUGCGCCUAUUUGGACAGUUGGUCACCUGCUGGCCAAGGGGUAGGAUUUAAUGAUUUGAAACCUCUUUUGUGAGAAGCAGGACACAUAUACCUCCAUUUUGAUGUAUUUUUUAUGGCUGUGGAGUGAGAUUUGUGGGCGUGGGAGCGAUAUAUUCGAGCGAGGUUCUGUCGAUCAGAGACGAGGUCUGCACUCUAGCUUUUCAAAUCAUCACUCUAGCCUCUCCAAUACACCCCCAUUAUAAAGCCUGAAAUUUGCUGAAAACCACGAGUUGCAUAAAGCUAAAUUGUGGAAAAACUGUAAAAGAUAGCAAAAAAAGGUUAAUACAACAUCAAUAGUCGACAAGACAAUGAACAUUUUAAAGCAAAAAUUAGGUCUCUAGGUGAAAGUAUGCUGAAGUUAUAAGGCAUAGAAAGUGGACGAAUAACAGGAAGAAUUGGAACAUUUCCCCAUUCAUUUCUAUGGGAAAAAAAGUUUGGCACAAAAAGUGAAAAAUAAUAAAAAGUACAAAGGACAGAAAGGAAAAAAAUACAAGCACACAUGUCCUGAUGGAGUGGAAUAGUUUAAAGUUUGAACGGUUGAAAUCGGACAAAGUUUGAAGGAGGAGAAGCGGUCCAAAGAAACGUAUGGGGAGAGUGUUAAGUAUAAUACUAGAAAAAUUGCAUUUCCUUGCAGAAAAUGCGUGGAAAUGCUGAGUGCUGAAAGCUGAAAAAGCAAUGCUAAACUGCUAAUAAAACAUGGAGAAAGGUAUAAAUGUUAAAGCUGUUGAAGGGGUGAGAAAGAAAUGUAAGUUGGAUAAUUGAUUAAUUGGUUGAAGGACAAAUAGUAUGAAUAUGCUCUAUAAAAGAAAAUUUUAUUCAUGCUGAAAGAGGCUAGAAAAAUGUCUAAAAUUGCACAAAGUUUGAAUGAAGAAGGAAAUUGCCUUAAAAGGCAGGAAGGUGAGAAGUGGCAUAAGUUUAAAUUGUAGUACUAGAAGUAGUAUGAUAAGAAGUCAAGUCGUGAUACUAGUAGUCAUAUCAGCAGUAGAAGUAGAUUGAGAAUAAAAGAAGUAUAAGUCAAAGUAGUAAAGAAAGUAGAAAUAGGAGCAAUAGCUGUUGAAGUAGAGGGGAAAGUUCUAGUUUAAUUGACAUUAGCAGUAGUUGUCGUACUUGAGGUAGGAUUUUGUUUGAAUGGAGUAAUGCAUAAAUAUUAAAACUAAUUUAAAACAGGGAAAUUUUAAAUUAUCAAAAGUCCUCAAGUAUCAGAAAGUUUUGAAGUAUUAGAAAGGUUUGAAUCAGUUUGAAUGAGUUUAAAUUAGUUUGAAAAAUUAAAUGAUAAAUCAUCACUGACUGACUUUUAAAAUGUGAAAAAUUUAAAUGAAUAACAAUCCUAAAUACACCCAAUAAUGUCCUCAAUGAGCUUAAAUUUCAAAGCCCUGAAUGGUUUCUGUAGGUCAAAGGUCAUGUGAGGAGAUAGGGGCUGAAGUUUUUUCCAACGCUCUAGGAAAAGGUUUUAAGUGUCAUCCCAAUUGCUAUGUGUACUGAGCCUGGCUUCAUGUGUCUCAUAUGGCCACUAGAAGCAGCUUUCCAGUCAGCUGUGUGUCUCCAGGUGCAC